rnacentral:rRNA from 1 species
AAUAAGCGGAGGAAAAGAAACUAACAAGGAUUCCCCUAGUAACGGCGAGUGAAGCGGGAAGAGCUCAAAUUUGUAAUCUGGCACUUUCAGUGUCCGAGUUGUAAUCUCGAGAAGUGUUUUCCGCGCCGGACCGCAUACAAGUCUGUUGGAAUACAGCGUCAUAGUGGUGAGAACCCCGUAACUGAUGCGGAUGCCCGGUGCUUUGUGAUACACUUUCGAAGAGUCGAGUUGUUUGGGAAUGCAGCUCAAAUUGGGUGGUAAAUUCCAUCUAAAGCUAAAUAUUGGCGAGAGACCGAUAGCGAACAAGUACCGUGAGGGAAAGAUGAAAAGCACUUUGGAAAGAGAGUUAACAGUACGUGAAAUUGUUGGAAGGGAAACGAUUGAAGUCAGACUUGUUAUCUGGAGUUCAGCCUUUCGGUGUACUCUCCAGUUUACAGGCCAGCAUCAGUUUUCGGGGCGGGAAAAUCGUAAUUAGAAGGUAGCAGCCUAGCUGUGUUAUAGCUUUUUACUGGAUUCCGCUUUGGGGACUGAGGAACGCAGUGUGCUUUUAGCAAUACCCUCGGGUAUUUCACACUUAGGAUGCUGGUGGAAUGGCUUUAAACGACCCG